ensembl:ncRNA lncRNA:CR44441 long non-coding RNA:CR44441
GAUCGAUAUUUUAUGAAAAAAAACGUGUAAUAUCUAUAUAUAUUAAUACGAACACACAAAGAUAAAAUGUUUUUUCCAAGACUUUAAAAAGUGGUUGAACAAAAGUUUGUGAACAUUUUAGGAUAAGUGCCAAUAUUAUACAUAAAUCAUUCGACUAUCUAUCACUCUUGGCGCUUUGGAAGAUAGACAGGACUUCCUAAUAAUAACAAAGCUCACAAAAACCUUAUUCAACGCUAACAACUCCCCAAUCAUAAAAAAUAUUAAAAUCAUACCGCUCAUCAAAACGUCCCCCAUACAAAUCAGCAAUAGACCGAAUAAUAGAAAAAGCAAAGCCCAUUAACUACCAUUUAAACAACAAAAAAUACCCGCGCAGUCCUUACCUCCCUGGAACACCAAUCUCUCCAAAAUUGACACAACACUCAAUAAGUUCAACGAAAGCAACACGACCCCACAACUUUUCAGGAGACUUUUUACAGAAAAGCAAACGAACGGUCUUCGCAGCAGAGCUUCUAGCCCUUAUAGGCCCUAAAAACCAACAAAAAUAAAAGAGGAAAAUUCUGCAUAUGUUCAGACUCACUUUCCGCUAUUAAAAAUCUAAACAACAGCGAUCACUACAUAUCUCACGCACGCAACCUACUACAAAAAUUCAAUACCAAUUUUAAACUCCUUUGGAUACUAGGACAAGUUGGAAUACAACAAGCCAACCACUUACAACUAUUGAAUAAGAAAUACCUAACCAAGAUGAAAAAAACUUGGUUUCAAACAUCCAACAAAUCAUCUUAUCAGACUCGGGACAUACACUAAUAACACACAAGCACUACCUCGACCAAACCCAACAGACAAUCAGUCAGUUCUGCAACGACAAACAUAUUAAAUAUCCUUAAAUACAUUUAUAUCGUCAAUCUGUACUACCAGCUAUAAUGUAACCUUAACAAGAUUAUUCUAUCCAUCUAGAUGUAAACAAGGAGGAAGGCCUCUGCUGCCGCAGCUUUUAUUAAUUCACUAGCUCUUAAUUUAAAUUAUUUGUUAUUUUAUUAGAAAUGCUUACUUAUAUCUCUUAUAUAUUUUUAAUGGAAUCAAGUAUAUACAUUUAUUUUACGACUAACAGUAAAAAUUUAGUUUACAAAAGAAUUAUAUAUCAAGUAACAGUGUUUAUACCCGUUACUCGU